rnacentral:rRNA from 1 species
UACGUAGGGGGCAAGCGUUGUCCGGAUUUAUUGGGCGUAAAGAGCGUGUAGGCGGCCAAACAGGUCAGCUGUGAAAACUCGAGGCUCAACCUCGAGACGUCGGUUGAAACCGUUUGGCUAGAGUCCGGAAGAGGAGAGUGGAAUUCCCGGUGUAGCGGUGAAAUGCGCAGAUAUCGGGAAGAACACCCGUGGCGAAGGCGGCUCUCUGGGACGGUACUGACGCUGAGACGCGAAAGCGUGGGGAGCGAAUGGG